rnacentral:rRNA from 1 species
AUAUUGGACAAUGGGCGAAAGCCUGAUCCAGCCAUGCCGCGUGUGUGAAGUAGGUCAUCGGAUUGUAAAGCAAUUUAAGUUGGGAGGAAGGGCACUAAGUUAAUACCUUGCGGUUUUGACGUUACCGACAGAAUAAGCACCGGCUAACUUCGCUCCAUUAGCCGCGGUAAGCAGAAGGGUGCAAGCGUUAAUCGGACUUACUGGGCAUGAAGUGCGCUUAGGUGGUUCACUAAGAUGGGUGUGAAAACCCCGGGCUUAACCCGGGAACUGGUUUCAUAACUGGUGAGCUAGAGUACGGUAGAGGGUGGUGGAAUUUCCUGGGUAGCGGUGAAAUGCGUAGCGAAAGGAAAGAACACCAGUGGAGAAGGUGGCGACCUGGACUGAUUCUGAAACUGAGGUGCGAAAGGGUGGGGAGCAAAC